GAUGAACGCUGGCGGCGUGCCUAAUACAUGCAAGUCGAGCGAAUGGAUUGAGAGCUUGCUCUUAUGAAGUUAGCGGCGGACGGGUGAGUAACACGUGGGUAACCUGCCCAUAAGACUGGGAUAACUCCGGGAAACCGGGGCUAAUACCGGAUAACAUUUUGAACCGCAUGGUUCGAAAUUGAAAGGCGGCUUCGGCUGUCACUUAUGGAUGGACCCGCGUCGCAUUAGCUAGUUGGUGAGGUAACGGCUCACCAAGGCAACGAUGCGUAGCCGACCUGAGGGGGUGAUCGGCCACACUGGGACUGAGACACGGCCCAGACUCCUACGGGAGGCAGCAGUAGGGAAUCUUCCGCAAUGGACGAAAGUCCGACGGAGCAACGCCGCGUGAGUGAUGAAGGCUUUCGGGUCGUAAAACUCUGUUGUUAGGGAAGAACAAGUGCUAGUUGAAUAGGCUGGCACCUUGACGGUACCUAACCAGAAAGCCACGGCUAACUACGUGCCAGCCGCCGCGGUAA
rnacentral:rRNA from 1 species